rnacentral:rRNA from 1 species
CACUCCUGCGGGAGGCAGCAGUGGGGAAUUUUGGACAAUGGGCGCAAGCCUGAUCCAGCCAUGCCGCGUGCGGGAAGAAGGCCUUCGGGUUGUAAACCGCUUUUGUCAGGGAAGAAAAGGUUCUGGCUAAUACCUGGGACUCAUGACGGUACCUGAAGAAUAAGCACCGGCUAACUACGUGCCAGCAGCCGCGGUAAUACGUAGGGUGCAAGCGUUAAUCGGAAUUACUGGGCGUAAAGCGUGCGCAGGCGGUUAUGCAAGACAGAGGUGAAAUCCCCGGGCUCAACCUGGGAACUGCCUUUGUGACUGCAUGGCUAGAGUACGGUAGAGGGGGAUGGAAUUCCGCGUGUAGCAGUGAAAUGCGUAGAUAUGCGGAGGAACACCGAUGGCGAAGGCAAUCCCCUGGACCUGUACUGACGCUCAUGCACGAAAGCGUGGGGAGCAAACAGGAUUAGAUACCCGUGUAGUCCCA